rnacentral:rRNA from 1 species
UACGUAGGGUGCGAGCGUUAAUCGGAAUUACUGGGCGUAAAGCGUGCGCAGGCGGUUCGUUGUGUCUGAUGUGAAAGCCCCGGGCUCAACCUGGGAAUGGCAUUGGAAACUGGCGAGCUGGAGUGUGGCAGAGGGGGGUGGAAUUCCGCGUGUAGCAGUGAAAUGCGUAGAGAUCGGCAGGAACACCCAGGGGGAAACCAGUGGACUGGGCAGGAGCUGACGCUCAGGUGCGAAAGCGUGGGGAGCAAACAGG